rnacentral:tRNA from 1 species
GGGGCCGUGCCUGAAUCAAAGGGCCACUUUGAUAGAGUGGAUACUAGGGGUUAAAGUCCCCUCAGCUCCU